CAAAUAAAAGCUGUUUGUUUUGUGUUUCAGUUAAUUCUCUGGACUGCCUGAAAUGUGACGGGGGUACUUCGUGUUCUGCUACAUCACAAACGUGCAGCAACUCCGAGACGUGUUUAACAUUUUCAUCGACAAGUGUUGGCUUUCAGCAGUAUGGUUUUACGCAAAACGGCUUUGUUAAGAAAUGCGGUCCCAAGCUUCAAACCUGCGGUCAGCUACUGAGUGCAAAGUUCACCAAUCAACUCAGAGUGGAGUCCCGUGUUGAGUGCUGUGACACGAAUCAGUGCAACACCGGCGUCUAUAAUGUUGCUCUCACUGGGGAUUCCUCGAAUGGGAAGCAGUGUCCUUCAUGUGUCAAUACUGGUAGCUGCGGGACAGACUUGGUUAACUGUCUUGGAACACAAGAUCAAUGCAUCACAUUGACUGGGGCUGCACCAGGUAUUCCUACAGUACGCUGAAGGGAUGUGCCACCAAAGCUGCAUGUGAUAAAGACUCUUUGGUGACGGCCCUGGCCAUUUUUGAUUAAUUACAAGUAGCUUGUAAUGCAGCUUCUGCAAAUAGAUUUAUUCCCCGAGGAAUACACAUGGUCAUGAUAGCUGGAGCUGCUUCCCUAGCUCUGGGGUUUGUGUUUAACUAAACAUCCAGCA